AUACGGAGGGUGCAAGCGUUAUCCGGAAUCAUUGGGUUUAAAGGGUCCGCAGGCGGAUUAAUAAGUCAGUGGUGAAAUCCUCUCGCUCAACGAGAGAACUGCCAUUGAAACUGCUAGUCUUGAAUUCGAUCGAAGUAGGCGGAAUGUGUCAUGUAGCGGUGAAAUGCAUAGAUAUGACACAGAACACCGAUAGCGAAGGCAGCUUACUAGACCUGGAUUGACGCUCAUGGACGAAAGCGUGGGGAGCGAACAGUAUUAGAAACCCUAGUAGUCC
rnacentral:rRNA from 1 species